UCUUAAGCUCAAAUUAGUGAUCAACUCCAUGAAGGGAUCAUAAGGCAAAGGAAUUGAAUCUUCAAGCGGACGAGCCGAAGUUGAUGCACGCUUGAAGGAAAAGAACUAAAGGUGAAGCAAGUGACAUUCCGGAUGGUGAUCAAAGCAAAUAAUAAGAACCGAACACAUCACUUUUGAAGCUUCCCGCAAGAAUAUGUUUUGUUUUAGUUCAAAAUGGG